rnacentral:rRNA from 1 species
UACGUAGGGUGCUAGCGUUGUCCGGAUUUAUUGGGCGUAAAGGGCUCGUAGGCGGUCUGUCGCGUCGGCUGUGAAAACCCGGAGCUCAACUCCGGGCCUGCAGUCGAUACGGGCAGACUGGAGUUCGGCAGGGGAGACUGGAAUUCCUGGUGUAGCGGUGAAAUGCGCAGAUAUCCGGAGGAAUACCAAAGGCGAAGGCAGUGUCCUGGCUGGCAUCUGACGCUGAGGCGCGAAAGCUAGGGGAGCGAACAGG